rfam:Vigna radiata var. radiata cultivar VC1973A scaffold_278, whole genome shotgun sequence
AUCUCAUGGUGGGGACAGCUUGCACAAAGUGUCUUGAAUCUCUCCCAAUACUCAUAUAAGCUCUGUCCACCAAGCUACCUAAUCCCAGUUAUGUCUUUUCUGAUAGCU